GCAAGUGUUUCCCCAGAAGUGACCAUCCGAAGAGACCUCUCCCUGAGCGCUUUCUCCUGAGCGGUCCCACAGUGCCAGGCGGGCGGGGUUGGCUUCUCGGACUCCUCCGCCAGCUGCGGCUGUGCUCACAGCCGUGCUUCAGGGGCAAUGUUAGCGCCCAGCUCUGAUCCUCUGACUCCCUUCCAGACCGUCACUUUCGCAACUCCUCCUCUAUUUGUGUAAGGUCUAAUUCUUAUAAGAAAUCCCUUCUUCUCGUUAUAUUUACAAUGGCUGCUUUCCUACUGAUACACUCGGAAUCUUUUGAUCUUUCGGCUCUGCCGUCCUUAUCGCUGCCGCAAUGUCUUCCCUCAUGGCUGCAAAAUGGCCACCACAACUAAGCAUUAUGCCCUCACAUCCCGUGGCCCCAAGCAGGAAGCAGGGGCACUGGUACUAAAAUAUUUUUCUGUCUACAUUCUGCUACCGGAAGCCUCUAGCAGAAUUGACCCUAAGUGUCAUCGGUCAGAACAGGGUCGUGUACCUCCUCUGGUCCCUGACAAAGGGGCGGGGUUGCCAUGAUUGGUUUACACCUGGGGUCCUGCUCCCUGGCUGCCUAUCAAGAUAUACUGUGAAGCUUUUAAAACGUAUUUUCACCUACAGCCAGCUCGCAGCGAUUCUGAUUUAACUGCUCUGGGGUGGUGUCCUGGCAUCAAUAUUUGUAAAAUUCUCUCAUGCAGCUUAGGUGCAGCCACGGCUGAGAAACACAGUUGCAUCAAACAUGAUUCAUUCUCUGGAGCUGUUGCACUACCAGAUUCUAUAUAAGUUCUUUGAAGCAUAUGUUCCAUUUUUACUAACUCCAGGAAUGACAACAGACAGCUACCGUCCCAUUCCUUAGUUACUUGAGGUAAAGCCUUCCCAAACCACGUUGCACAGGGCCCAAGAAAUAAUGACUCCUUGGGAGGGCUGGAAAACUUAGGUAAGAAAUUAUGUGUUCCAAUAUACAAGUUACUCGAAGAAAAGAACACAUACUAGCGUCCUUCGUUUUAGCAUCUAAUCAGCUGUUAAGAGUAUUAGUCACUGAGAGGUGCACACCAGAGAGCUACUGAAUGCGGAGUAUUGGCUCACAC
rnacentral:lncRNA from 1 species